rnacentral:rRNA from 1 species
AUGGGUGAGAUGAAGAUGGUCAGCUUAACAGAACCACAAUGUUACCACUCACAAAACCUGGGCUGUGGGGUCUUCUCCUCCCCAAGAGAAGGAUUUGUAGGUCCUACUACUACCACAAGGCUAAUCCAACUCAAAGCUCUAUUCUGGGAGUACAAGUUUUUGAAUAAGGAAAAUAACCCACAGAUCUCCAGGACAGUAUCAUUUCAUCUGGGGCCUGAUACAUCUGAAGCCAGAGGUGUAGCUGAGGAGCAUGCAUCUCCUGCCACGCCAAAGUUCACUGCAGUCGUUGCUGUUAGGAAAUAUGCAACUUGUAUUCCCAUGAGGCCAUAG